GGGUUGUAUUAGUUGAGGUAUACUUAUUGAUUGGACCUGGUACGUGGACCACAGGUAAUUAAUAUCUUUUUUCUUUGACGACAUGUGCUACGAUGUAUUUAAUGCUUUUCCUUUAUUUAAUGCCUUUUUGCUCCUCCUAACUAAUAAAUUAACCAUGGUCCACUGUGAAGCAGAUCCAACCAAUAAUUCUCAUUAAUUGAGGAUGAAGUGGUUAAAAGCCAAAGGUGGUAUGAUUAUGUUAGCAAACGUGAUCAGGAUAUUGAUAAAUAUGAUUGCUAAUAAAUUAACCAUGGUCCAGAUCCAACCAAUAAUUCUCAUUAAUUGAGGAUGAAGUGAUUAAAAGCCAAAGGUGGUAUGAUUAUGUUAGCAAAUGUGAUC
rnacentral:lncRNA from 1 species